AACGAACGCUGGCGGCAGGCCUAACACAUGCAAGUCGAGCGCGCCCUUCGGGGUGAGCGGCGGACGGGUGAGUAACGCAUGGGAACGUGCCCUUUUCUACGGAAUAGCCUCGGGAAACUGAGAGUAAUACCGUAUACGCCCUUUUGGGGAAAGAUUUAUCGGAAAAGGAUCGGCCCGCGUUGGAUUAGGUAGUUGGUGGGGUAAUGGCCUACCAAGCCGACGAUCCAUAGCUGGUUUGAGAGGAUGAUCAGCCACACUGGGACUGAGACACGGCCCAGACUCCUACGGGAGGCAGCAGUGGGGAAUCUUAGACAAUGGGGGCAACCCUGAUCUAGCCAUGCCGCGUGAGUGAUGAAGGCCUUAGGGUUGUAAAGCUCUUUCAGCUGGGAAGAUAAUGACGGUACCAGCAGAAGAAGCCCCGGCUAACUCCGUG
rnacentral:rRNA from 1 species